rnacentral:misc_RNA from 1 species
AAGUCGUAACAAGGUUUCCGUAGGUGAACCUGCGGAAGGAUCGUUACCGAGUUCGGUACCUCUGGUACCCACUCCCACCCUUUGUGAACUUAUUACCGUUGCUUUGGCGGGCCGCGGCCCUGCCGCCUCCGGCGCACGCUGGGGAGCGCCCGCCAGAGGAUCUCCAAACCCGUCAAUCGUGGAAUCUGAGUAAAUUUUAAAAAUCAAAA